UCGAAGAUCCUCGUACUGGUGGCGCCAUC
rnacentral:sRNA from 1 species